UACGAAGGGGGCUAGCGUUGUUCGGAUUUACUGGGCGUAAAGCGCACGUAGGCGGAUCGAUCAGUCAGGGGUGAAAUCCCAGAGCUCAACUCUGGAACUGCCUUUGAUACUGUCGAUCUGGAGUAUGGAAGAGGUGAGUGGAAUUCCGAGUGUAGAGGUGAAAUUCGUAGAUAUUCGCAAGAACACCAGUGGCGAAGGCGGCUUUCUGGGACGGUACUGACGCUGAGACGCGAAAGCGUGGGGAGCGAACAGG
rnacentral:rRNA from 1 species